rnacentral:rRNA from 1 species
CAGUAGCCGCGGGAAUACGAAGGGGGCUAGCGUUGCUCGGAAUUACUGGGCGUAAAGGGAGCGUAGGCGGACAUUUAAGUCAGGGGUGAAAUCCCAGAGCUCAACUCUGGAACUGCCCUUGAUACUGGGUGUCUUGAGUGUGAUAGAGGUAUGUGGAACUCCGAGUGUAGAGGUGAAAUUCGUAGAUAUUCGGAAGAACACCAGUGGCGAAGGCGACAUACUGGAUCAUUACUGACGCUGAGGCUCGAAAGCGUGGGGAGCAAACAGGAUUAGAUACCCGCGUAGUCCCUGUCUCUUAUAC